rnacentral:rRNA from 1 species
ACGGAAGGCAGCAGUGAGGAAUAUUGGUCAAUGGGCGAGAGCCUGAACCAGCCAAGUCGCGUGAAGGAUGAAGGUUCUAUGGAUUGUAAACUUCUUUUGUUCGAGGGUAAAGUGAGUCACGUGUGAUUUAUUGCAAGUAUCGAACGAAUAAGCAUCGGCUAACUCCGUGCCAGCAGCCGCGGUAAUACGGAGGAUGCGAGCGUUAUCCGGAUUUAUUGGGUUUAAAGGGUGCGUAGGCGGGAUGUUAAGUCAGCGGUUAAAUAGUGUAGCUCAACUAUACUUUGCCGUUGAAACUGGCGUUCUUGAGUGUAAACGAGGUAGGCGGAAUGUGACGUGUAGCGGUGAAAUGCUUAGAUAUGUCACAGAACCCCGAUUGCGAAGGCAGCUUACCAGGCCGGCAAUGACGCUCAUGCACGAAAGUGCGGGGAUCGAACAGGAUUAGAUACCCUGGUA